AUGUAGUAGGUGCUAGAAAUGCAUUUCUCGAAUGCCACCAGUGUCAAAAACAACUCUAUGUGUCGUCCAAAACAAUUUGAAAUGUGUCGCCCAAAACAAAUCUUCCAUUUUGCUAAUAGACCAGAGGUUCUCUUGUUUUGCAGUCUCAAUAACUCUAAUUUUCAAACUACUGAGUAUAUAAGGCUACUAAUUUCCAUUGCAACAGCAAUGCCCUCCCCGGAAAUGAUGAAAGCAGGCGCGAUAUCUGAUCACCUCCUCACGGUUAUAAACCCCUGAAAAUAUUUCUGCAAGCUAAUGGCAGUCUCUAUUAUAACUACUUAUUUUUGUUUUAUGGUUGUUUCAUUUGAAUCAGAACUAUGUUUCAUGUAUCUCUUUCGUCGAUUGGUAUAUAAGUUUUGGUUGUCUAGGACUUUUAAUAGUGUAGUAAAAUAUUGUGUUGUAUUUAAACUUGAUUUGCAUCAUUUUCUUUUUAUACAAAUUGCUGGCAGUAUUUUACUAUUAUGCCAGCAGUGUUUUUUGUACAGAUUGUAUUCUGACAGGCUAGAGAUUGACAGUCUGCUUCCAUAAUGGAGAGCUAUUGGCACUUGGCACAGGAGCUUGGUAUUAAUUGAAUUGCAAGUCCCUGUAGUUCUCUUCUUUUCUGCCACUUAAAGGAUUGCAGAAGAUUGUUUUAAAGAACUACUAUCCGAGCAUUGAUCACUACUCACCAGGUCGACUACUAUCCACUCCCCGGUGCUCCAUAUAUCUCUGAAGGGUCAAAUUACGAUAGGAAUUUGGCCAAAAACAAUCUCACUGGACUGAUACAAUUCUGUAAUGGAUCAGAGGUUUCAGAUAUUUUUACUGCUGUUAUCCAUUCAAUUUUUCAGUAUAGCAUUGCAGGAUGUUCCAAGCUUUACGUUCAAUGGUGCAUACAAAUCCUGAACUGUCUCAGCCUGUUGUGAAUUCCUCAACAUUGUCUCAGCCAGACUAUAGAUGCUCCACGAGUUCGAAGGUACUGCAGCUAAAGAAUGUAUUCAACAACUCGAGUACUCAGGUUCGAGGACUGAUGAGGGAAGAUUUGAGGAACAAAAAAUGGGUGAAGUUGAAAUUUGUACAACUCAGAUGAGGGUGAAAGAAAAUGAGAAUGCUGAUUUGAAGAGUUUCAAAAUUGCUGGAACUAAAGAUAGUAAUAAAAAUUCAUUUGAUCAAAGCGCAGUUGUGGAGAACUGUUCUGUCAUUGGCCAAAAGGUUACCGGUGCUCAAGAGUGUAAUGUAAAUAUAUCUCAUUCUGUUCAUAACAAUAGUGAUGAUAUACAUGACGCAAGAAGGUCUGGCAACCAGGUCAUCCCAAAAGUAGAUAGUAGUAAAGAGCGUCUCAGUGCAACACCUGGGCAUGUGAUGAAAUAUGAAGAUGAGGAUAGUCGAUUUGCAGCUACAAAAUUGUUGAAAUGCUUGAUGUGAAUAUACCUUAAGGUUUAGAUGAUAAGAAUAAUGAGGACAAGCGGAGUAAGUACCUCUACUAUGACCCACCACCUUUUGAAGAA